CUCACUUGUAACCAACAGAAUGUGGGGUAGCAUGGAUGAAGAGUUCCUUCCUCAUCCCCCAUGUGGAGGAAUGGUGUGUUCCCAAGACCCACUAGCCUGGGAAUGGGAGAAGAAAGACCAAGAAGGGAUGACAGACAGCAUGGAAGUAGGGAGAGAGGAUGCAGCAGGAAGUGAUCUAGAAACAUACAAACUUCUGGGGCCCUGGGCAACUGGACAGUGAUGGAAUCAUUCAUCUGGUGGAUGAGGAGGAUGCCUGGACAGGCACCGGCAGGCCAGCAGGUUGUGCCCGAGAAGUCUGAUUCACCUCUUCAGAGAAUGAAAGCUGAUCUAUUUACUCCUGGCAGAGAAGAAAGGAGGAAGGACGUCCAGGUGCUACCAGAAAACCAUUUGUGAGGACAUGGACCAGUGCCAAGGUCACAGCCCACCUGAAUAGAACUUGAAAUCCAGGCACACCCAGUCCAGGGGAGCCCUGAGUUCUUCCUGAACUUAAACACUGGGUUUAAAAAAAAAAAAACAGUCACAGGUGCGGGGACACUGGUCCCCUGCCUGCUGCGAAGUAGAUAACGCGAGGACAGCCUCAAAACAACUCCAGACGCUUCGGGUGCCUGAGCCUCACUCGGUGGGGGCGGCGCAGAGGUCCACGUGCAGUACGCGAGCUGGGGAGGUGCGGGAGCCCGCGCUCUGCCCGUGCGCCGCCGACCCACUCACUGCCGCUCGGGGCUUUGGGUUCCCCCCAUGCAAAAGGAGGACCAUGCUAUGUCAUCAAGGGCUGAUGCGAAGAAGAACCCAGAAGCAGGCGUCAAUAAGUAACGAAAGAAUGGGGGUAGCCGUGCCUAAUAUCGUUGCUGCCGUGGCAAUUACUGCAACGGAGGCUUGAGAGUUAGGGCGCCAGAAACGCAAACUUUCCAGGGGACCAAACUCAUCCAAGCCUCCUAAGGGGCCUGUGGAGACCUCUGCCCGCUCUGGGCCCCGCCGCCGUCCGCGGUCCGCGCCACCUUUCCCGCGGCUGGCUCCAGGC
rnacentral:lncRNA from 1 species